CUCUCGGCAACGGAUAUCUUGGCUCCUGCCACGAUGAAGAACGUAGCGAAAUGCGAUACUUGGUGUGAAUUGCAGAAUCCCGUGAAUCAUCGAGUUUUUGAACGCAAGUUGCGUCCGAGGCCAUUUGGCUAAGGGCACGCCUGCCUGGGCGUCAAG
rnacentral:rRNA from 1 species